rnacentral:rRNA from 1 species
GAGCGCCGUAGCAAUACGGAGCGGCAGACGGGAGAGUAACACGUGGGAACGUGCCCUUUGGUUCGGAACAACCCAGGGAAACUUGGGCUAAUACCGGAUAAGCCCUUACGGGGAAAGAUUUAUCGCCGAAGGAUCGGCCCGCGUAUGAUUAGCUAGUUGGUGGGGUAAUGGCCCACCAAGGCGACGAUCAGUAGCUGGUAUGAGAGGAUGAUCAGCCUCACUGGGACUGAGACACGGCCCAGACUCCUACGGGAGGCAGCAGUGGGGAAUAUUGGACAAUGGGCGCAAGCCUGAUCCAGCCAUGCCGCGUGGGUGAUGAAGGCCCUAGGGUUGUAAAGCCCUUUCGGCGGGGAAGAUAAUGAC